GACGAACGCUGGCGGCGUGCUUAACACAUGCAAGUCGAACGGAAAGGCCCUGCUUUUGUGGGGUGCUCGAGUGGCGAACGGGUGAGUAACACGUGAGUAACCUGCCCUUGACUUUGGGAUAACUUCAGGAAACUGGGGCUAAUACCGGAUAGGAGCUCCUGCUGCAUGGUGGGGGUUGGAAAGUUUCGGCGGGUGGGGAUGGACUCGCGGCUUAUCAGCUUGUUGGUGGGGUAGUGGCUUACCAAGGCUUUGACGGGUAGCCGGCCUGAGAGGGUGACCGGCCACAUUGGGACUGAGAUACGGCCCAGACUCCUACGGGAGGCAGCAGUGGGGAAUAUUGCACAAUGGGCGGAAGCCUGAUGCAGCAACGCCGCGUGCGGGAUGACGGCCUUCGGGUUGUAAACCGCUUUCGCCUGCGACGAAGCGUGAGUGACGGUAAUGGGUGAAGAAGCACCGGCUAACUACGUG
rnacentral:rRNA from 1 species